GAUGAACGCUGACAGAAUGCUUAACACAUGCAAGUCGACUCGAGUCUUCGGACUUGGGUGGCGCACGGGUGAGUAACGCGUAAAGAACUUGCCUCUUAGACCGGGACAACAUCUGGAAACGGAUGCUAAUACCGGAUAUUAUGGUUUUUUCGCAUGGAGGAAUCAUGAAAGCUAGAUGCGCUAAGAGAGAGCUUUGCGUCCCAUUAGCUAGUUGGUGAGGUAACGGCCCACCAAGGCAAUGAUGGGUAGCCGGCCUGAGAGGGUGAACGGCCACAAGGGGACUGAGACACGGCCCUUACUCCUACGGGAGGCAGCAGUGGGGAAUAUUGGACAAUGGACCACAAGUCUGAUCCAGCAAUUCUGUGUGUACGAUGACGUUUUUCGGAAUGUAAAGUGCUUUCAGUCGGGAAGAAGUCAGUGACGGUACCGACAGAAGAAGCGACGGCUAAAUACGUGCCAGCAGCCGCGGUAAUACGUAUGUCGCAAGCGUUAUCCGGAUUUAUUGGGCGUAAAGCGCGUCUAGGCGGCAAGGAAAGUCUGAUGUGAAAAUGCGGAGCUCAACUCCGUAUGGCGUUGGAAACUGCCUUACUAGAGUACUGGAGAGGUAGGCGGAACUACAAGUGUAGAGGUGAAAUUCGUAGAUAUUUUGUAGGGAAUGCCGAUGGGGGAAGCCAGCCUACUGGGACAGAUUCUGACGCUAAAUCGCGAAAGCGUGGGUAGCAAACAGG
rnacentral:rRNA from 1 species